GAUGAACGCUGGCUACAGGCUUAACACAUGCAAGUCGUGGGGAAACGGCAUUAUGUGCUUGCACAUUCUGGACGUCGACCGGCGCACGGGUGAGUAUCGCGUAUCCAACCUGCCCCUUACUUGGGGAUACCCCGUUGAAAGACGGCCUAAUACCCGAUGUGUUUCAUUGACGGCAUCCGAUAUGAAACAAAGGUUUUUCCGGUAAGGGAUGGGGAUGCGUCUGAUUAGCUAGUUGGCGGGGCAACGGCCCACCAAGGCGACGAUCAGUAGGGGUUCUGAGAGGAAGGUCCCCCACAUUGGAACUGAGACACGGUCCAAACUCCUACGGGAGGCAGCAGUGAGGAAUAUUGGUCAAUGGACGCAAGUCUGAACCAGCCAAGUAGCGUGCAGGAUGACGGCCCUAUGGGUUGUAAACUGCUUUUAUGUGGGAAUAAAGUGGCGCACGUGUGCGCCAUUGCAUG
rnacentral:rRNA from 1 species